GGGUUGUGAGGUUAAGCGACUAAGCGUACACGGUGGAUGCCCUGGCAGUCAGAGGCGAUGAAGGGCGUGCUAAUCUGCGAUAAGCGCCGGUAAGGUGAUAUGAACCGUUAUAACCGGCGAUACCCGAAUGGGGAAACCCAGUGUGAUUCGUCACACUAUCAUUAACUGAAUCCAUAGGUUAAUGAGGCGAACCGGGGGAACUGAAACAUCUAAGUACCCCGAGGAAAAGAAAUCAACCGAGAUUCCCCCAGUAGCGGCGAGCGAACGGGGAGGAGCCCAGAGCCUGAAUCAGCAUGUGUGUUAGUGGAAGCGUCUGGAAAGGUGCGCGAUACAGGGUGACAGCCCCGUACACAAAAGCGCAUGUGCUGUGAGCUCGAUGAGUAGGGCGGGACACGUGGUAUCCUGUCUGAAUAUGGGGGGACCAUCCUCCAAGGCUAAAUACUCCUGACUGACCGAUAGUGAACCAGUACCGUGAGGGAAAGGCGAAAAGAACCCCGGCGAGGGGAGUGAAAAAGAACCUGAAACCGUGUACGUACAAGCAGUGGGAGCACAGGUUUACCUGUGUGACUGCGUACCUUUUGUAUAAUGGGUCAGCGACUUAUAUUCUGUAGCAAGGUUAACCGUAUAGGGGAGCCGUAGGGAAACCGAGUCUUAACCGGGCGUUAAGUUGCAGGGUAUAGACCCGAAACCCGGUGAUCUAGCCAUGGGCAGGUUGAAGGUUGGGUAACACUAACUGGAGGACCGAACCGACUAAUGUUGAAAAAUUAGCGGAUGACCUGUGGCUGGGGGCCUCGUGAAUUCAUCUCGGGGGUAGAGCACUGUUUCGGCUGGGGCCAUCCCGCCAGCCAUCAUUUAAAGAAAGCGUAAUAGCUCACUGGUCGAGUCGGCCUGCGCGGAAGAUGUAACGGGGCUAAACCAUGCACCGAAGCUGCGGCAGCGAACGUAUCACCCAAGACAACUUUACGGAGUUGACGAUUGACGGAGCGAAGCGACGUCAAAGCGUUCAUUAAAUGCAUGCUGGAGGUAUCAGAAGUGCGAAUGCUGACAUAAGUAACGAUAAAGCGGGUGAAAAGAACGCUCGCCGGAAGACCAAGGGUUCCUGUCCAACGUUAAUCGGGCAGGGUGAGUCGACCCCUGCUGGGCGAGGCCGAAAGGCGUAGUCGAUGGGAAACGGGUUAAUAUUCCCGUACCCAAUGUUACUGCGAAGGGGGGACGGAGAAGGCUAUGUUGGCCGGGCGACGGUUGUCCCGGUUUAAGCGUGUAGGUGUGUGUUCCAGGUAAAUCCGGUUCACUUUAACACUGAGGCGUGACGACGAGGCACUACGGUGCUGAAGCAACAAAUGCCCUGCUUAGAUCGAAGCCCGGUAAACGGCGGCCGUAACUAUAACGGUCCUAAAGGUAGCGAAAAUUCCUUUGUCGGGUAAGUUCCGACCUGCACGAAUGGCGUAAUGAUGGCCGGGCUGUCUCCACCUCGAGACUCAGUGAAAUUGAACUCGCUGUGAAGAUGCAGUGUACCCGCGGCAAGACGGAAAAGACCCCGUGAACCUUUACUAUAGCUUGACACUGAACAUUGAGCCUUGAUGUGUGUAGGAUAGGUGGGAGGCUUUGAAGUGUGGACGCCAGUCUGCAUGGAGCCGACCUUGAAAUACCACCCUUUAAUGUUUGAUGUUCUAACGUGGACCCGUAAUCCGGGUUGCGGACAGUGUCUGGUGGGUAGUUUGACUGGGGCGGUCUCCUCCUAAAGAGUAACGGAGGAGCACGAAGGUUGGCUAAUCCUGGUCGGACAUCAGGAGGUUAGUGCAAUGGCAUAAGCCAGCUUGACUGCGAGCGUGACGGCGCGAGCAGGUGCGAAAGCAGGUCAUAGUGAUCCGGUGGUUCUGAAUGGAAGGGCCAUCGCUCAACGGAUAAAAGGUACUCCGGGGAUAACAGGCUGAUACCGCCCAAGAGUUCAUAUCGACGGCGGUGUUUGGCACCUCGAUGUCGGCUCAUCACAUCCUGGGGCUGAAGUAGGUCCCAAGGGUAUGGCUGUUCGCCAUUUAAAGUGGUACGCGAGCUGGGUUUAGAACGUCGUGAGACAGUUCGGUCCCUAUCUGCCGUGGGCGCUGGAGAACUGAGGGGGGCUGCUCCUAGUACGAGAGGACCGGAGUGGACGCAUCACUGGUGUUCGGGUUGUCAUGCCAAUGGCACUGCCCGGUAGCUAAAUGCGGAAGAGAUAAGUGCUGAAAGCAUCUAAGCACGAAACUUGCCCCGAGAUGAGUUCUCCCUGAGACUUAGAGUCUCCUGAAGGAACGUUGAAGACGACGACGUUGAUAGGCCGGGUGUGUAAGCGCAGCGAUGCGUUGAGCUAACCGGUACUAAUGAACCGUGAGGCUUAACCUUACAACGCCGAAG
rnacentral:rRNA from 1 species